AGCUACACAAUCAGAUGAGGAUGGUCAUUUUCAUUUUGUGAGCUGCGAACGGGCAGAAAGCUACGCAACGAGAUGAGGAUGGUCAUUUUCAUUUUGUGAGCUGCGAACGGGCAGAAAGCUACACAACCAUAUGAGGAUGGUCAUUGUCAUUUUCUGAGCUGCGAACGGGCAGUAAGCUACACAACGAGAUGAGGAUGGUCAUUGUCAUUUUCUGAGCUGCGAACGGGCAGAAAGCUACACAACCAGAUGAGGAUGGUUAUUGUCAUUUUCUGAGCUGCGAACGGGCAGAAAGCUACACAACCAGAUGAGGAUGGUCAUUGUCAUUUUCUGAGCUGCGAACGGCCAUAAAGCUACACAACCAGAUGAGGAUGGUCAUUGUCAUUUUCUGAGCUGCGAACGGGCAUAAAGCUACACAACCAGAUGAGGAUGGUCAUUGUCAUUUUCUGAGCUGCGAACGGGCAUAAAGCUACACAACCAGAUGAGGAUGGUCAUUUUCAUUUUGUGAGCUGCGAACGGGCAUAAAG